UGCCGCUGGGCUGAGCUCAACAUGUGAUCUAGAAAACAAUCGAAAAGCUAACAUCAAGGACUGGGAGUUCUGCUGAGGAAAUGAGUUCCUGUCCCAGAACUCAUGCUUUGUUUUGUGAAGAUGGAAAAACAUCUGUACGGUGCUACACUCUGUGGGAAAACCAGCGCUCGGGAAAACGGGCACAGAGGGAUCCCUGGGGCUCACUGCUCA
rnacentral:lncRNA from 1 species